rnacentral:rRNA from 1 species
GCGCGAAAACUUUGCAAUGCUGGCAACAGCGAUAAGGGAACCUCGAGUGCCAGGUUACAAAUCUGGCUGUCGAGAUGCCUAAAAAGCAUUUCAUAGCAAGGGCCGGGCAAGACCGGUGCCAGCCGCCGCGGUAACACCGGCGGCUCGAGUGGUAACCGUUAUUAUUGGGUCUAAAGGGUCUGUAGCCGGCCGGAUAAGUCUCUUGAGAAAUCUGGCAGCUUAACUGUCAGGCUUUCAGGAGAUACUGUCUGGCUCGAGGCCGGGAGAGGUGAGAGGUACUUCAGGGGUAGGGGUGAAAUCUUGUAAUCCUUGAAGGACCACCAGUGGCGAAGGCGUCUCACCAGGACGGACCUGACGGCAAGGGACGAAAGCUAGGGGCACGAACC